rnacentral:rRNA from 1 species
GAUGAACGCUGGCGGCGUGCCUAAUACAUGCAAGUCGAGCGAACAGACGAGGAGCUUGCUCCUCUGACGUUAGCGGCUGACGGGUGAGUAACACGUGGAUAACCUACCUAUAAUUCUGGGAUAACUUCGGGAAACCGGAGCUAAUACCGGAUAAUAUAUUGAACCGCAUGGUUCAAUAGUGAAAGACGGUUUUGCUGUCACUUAUAUAUGGAUCCGCGCCGCAUUAGCUAGUUGGUAAGGUAACGGCUUACCAAGGCAACGAUGCGUAGCCGACAUGAGAGGGUGAUCGGCCACACUGGAACUGAGACACGGUCCAGACUCCUACGGGAGGCAGCAGUAGGGAAUCUUCCGCAAUGGGCGAAAGCCUGACGGAGCAACGCCGCGUGAGUGAUGAAGGUCUUCGGAUCGUAAAACUCUGUUAUUAGGGAAGAACAAAUGUGUAAGUAACUAUGCACGUCUUGACGGUAACUAAUCAGAAAGCCACGGCUAACUACGUG